rnacentral:rRNA from 1 species
ACUUAAAAUUUAAAAGACUUGACGGUACCUCACAACAACCUAGAGGAGCCUGUCUAAUAACCGAUAUUCCACGAUCAACCCAACCCCCCCUAGCCUUAACAGUCUAUAUACCGCCGUCGCCAGCCUACCCUGUGAAAGAAACAAAGUAAGCUAGAUAGUCACACACUAACACGACAGGUCGAGGUGUAACUAAUGAGGGGGCCCAAGAUGGGCUACAUUUUCUAACACAGAAAACACGAAUAAACUAUGAAACAAGAAACUGAAGGCGGAUUUAGCAGUAUACUAAGAACAAAAUACAUAAUAGAAACCAACGCAAUGAGGUGCGUACACACC